UAUUUAUCAUUAUACUUCGUUUGUUAUCUUGCAUUACAUGUAAUUACCCCAACUUGUAUAUAGAACAAACGAACUUUAGAAAAUAUAAUGUAACGUUCUAUAAAUACCAACCAGUUGAAUAUUCGUUCAAAGCCGUUAUGCCGAUAAACAAACACCGAUUGAGUAUGUAAAUCCAUGCUUGAAUUAUAUCAUGAGUGCAUAACUUAUGUUGUCAGUACAAGGUAUUAUGAUAAUCGCUUUAACUUAAAUGUUAAAUAUACAUGUAUGUGCUGUUAUUGAUUCACUUAACAUUUUAUAUUACAGUUUGAAACUCACUUUUUAUUGUUUACGUCUCAAUGCAAACUUACAACACCAGCUAUUUUUAUGUACAGAUAACCUGCCGUAUACUAACAGGAAUAAGUAGUAUCAUUCUUAAAUUAACUACAUGUAUUGAUAACUAUUACAAUUUGCAGAAAAAUUUGGAAAACACAUAUAAAAAUGACUGUGCUGAAUUAUUAUUAAAAUAGUAUAGCAGUUGUCGCAAUCGUGAAAAUUGUCUGCGAUAAAAAAACAAAAAAGAGGGACCCAAGCAGUACUAGCAUAUUAUUUUUGAAUAACCUGUUUUGUGUGUGUAUGAAUACUUAUCAAUUACUACUAAAUUUUAAAUGCAUAUAUUCAUUUGUUAAAAAAUAAAGUUGUAUUGUAACCAUGGUUUAAUUACUUGUAUAAGACAUGUAGUUGGUUAGGAUGAUUAUUAAAGAUAGUGCAAUCGGAAUGUCAAUUUGUAAUUUUUGUCGACAAAACUUGUGUUUGUGAAUGCACAUUAAAAUUACUACACCUUAAACGGAAUGUGUUGUCAUUAUUUUCUGUGAUUUAGAAACAAUGUGUCAACCUUUUAACACAUGCAUUGUUAUAAGUCUGUUUUUUUUUCUUUCUUUUUUUUCUUAUUUGCUUUCACAUACUUAAAUAACGUCUCAAGGUUAUACAUUGUUAAUCCUUUAUUGUUAUAUUUUGUUAGUAAUAACAUGCUAUUUUUGUUUCAAUACAAUUAUCACAAUAAACAUAUUCAUGUACUAUUUGUUUUUGUCAUUGCAUGAUUCUACAAUAACAAGAAAAAGAAUCGACAUACAUAUCUGUAAAGGAAGAUAAAGUUUCAGUGUUGCCGUACUAACACACACAAACGAAUGCAAGCAGUUUCUGAUUAACGAGCACUAUCAUGUAUAUGAAGUCCUUCUAGUGUGAAGAUUCACGAGCAUAGAAUAUCAACUGAGAUAUGUAAACACCACACGAUGGGACAGAGGUUGUAAAACAAGCUACUAGGAAGUUUGCUUGAGUGAGGAACAUAUUAUGACAUUCUCGUAGAAAGUACACGCAACCAGCAUUACGCCUUCAAACAACAUAGAUUGGUUCAAAGCAAAAAAUAAUGUUCACACAUACGCGGUAUGCAGUUGAAAACGGCUACGUCAUACCAGUGAUUUAACCAAAGAAAUGACAGCAACCAUAUUGUGACAUAUUUUUAAAUAUUUUUUUUUUCUAUACAUUAAAUGAUGUUUGUGAAUAUGCAUUUUAUACUUUUUUGUAAUCAAUUAGAGUAUAUAUCUAUUUCGAUAUUUUGUCUUGUUUUGUUUUCAAUAAGAAUCAAACAAAGCAAUGUGUUUGAUAAUCGAUAAUAAAGGAAUCCAACAAAUUA